GAUGAACGCUGACAGCAUGCUUAACACAUGCAAGUCGAUGGGGAAGUGGUGCUUGCCCCUUGGCAACCGUGGCGGACGGGUGAGUAACGCACAAGGGAAUUACCUGCAGGACUGGGAUAAAAGGGGGCAACUACUGACAAGACCGGCUAAAGUCAUGGAGCUACAUGGCUUUAUGAUGGAAGGAGACGCCUGCGGAGAGCCUUGCGUCCGAUUAGCUAGUUGGUGAGGUAAUGGCUCACCAAGGCGAAGAUAGGUAGCCGGCCUGAGAGGGUGGACGGCCACGAGGCGACUGAGAUACGGCCCUUACGCCUACGGGAGGCAGCAGUGGGGAAUAAUGGACAAUGGGGGCAACCGUGAUCCAGCAAUUCGGUGUGCACGAAGAAGGUUUUCGGAUUGUAAAGAUCUGUCAGCAGGGAAGAAGUAAGUGACGGUACCUGCAGAAGAAGCCACGGCUAACUACGUG
rnacentral:rRNA from 1 species